GGCCGGUUGGCGCAAUGGUAGCGCGUGCCCCUCCUAUGACAGGUGCAUAGGGCAAGGUUGCGGGUUCGGUAAGUCCUUCACGAGUUC